UCUCCUCCUCCAGGCUGGGGAGGGGCACCGUGCUUCCGAGCCAACCACCCCGGGCUCUGCGGAGGCUCCGAGCCCGGGAGCAGGCUGGGGAGAGAAAGGCCCCAUUGUGACUGUCUGAUUAGAGGGGAGCGGUGGGGCGAGGAUUACACCAGCAGGAUGCGGUGCCUGGCUCUGGGCAGGAUGUAAUUCUCUCCCCCCCCCCCCAGCUUUCUCCCUUCCCCUCUGCCUCCCCCACGCGCUUGCCCUGGUGUGUGUUUGGAGGAGGGGGUGUCUGCAUUGAGAUUAGGGGGUCAUCUUUAAACGAAAGAAUCAUCGCUUUUUAAUGAACCUUUCCCUUUGCAUUUUAUUAAAAUUGGCUCCUGAGCCCCAUCACAUGGGAGCCUGGGGGCAUUUCCAGCAUCCCUUGUAAAAAAAAACUAAUCUCCUAUUCUAGCCAUGAUGGGUUUGGUCAGUUUUUUAAAUCUAAAACCCCAGCAAUCACAGCAUUAAAAUGGAAGUGAGUGUGGGGUCUAUUGGUUAGAACUGGCACUAUGAGCUUACAUCUGGAGGAGUGGGAGUUAGGACUCCUAGGUUCUACUACUGAGGUCUUGGACAGGAGUAUAGUCUAAUGGUUAAAGCAAGAGAUUGGGAGUUCCAUCUAAUCUGCUGCCAAUCGGGGAUAUCAGCACUCCUGAAUUCUUGUGUGAUCAUGGGCAAGUCCGUGCCUCAGUUUCACUAUCUGAAAAAUGGUAGCCUGGUACCACAGUGGUGCUUUGAACUGAAGUCCUGAAACUUGAUGUAUCCUGGAAGCAAAGCACAGUCUUAUUGUUUCAUGAAUGAUGACAAAGCUAAUCAAGGGGACACUUCCUGAGCAUAAUUGGGGAACUGAUAGCCUGGGUCAGGGUCAUUAACCCUCUGUUGGUCAUUCAUUCCUAGUAAAUGCCUUGUGUCAAGCUCUGGCUUGUUGUUUAUAAGUCUCAAUUGGAAAAUAAAAAGAUAUUGGGUCUU